CAGCCCCGCGGUAAUACGUAGGUGGCAAGCGUUGUCCGGAAUUAUUGGGCGUAAAGGGCUCGCAGGCGGUUUCUUAAGUCUGAUGUGAAAGCCCCCGGCUCAACCGGGGAGGGUCAUUGGAAACUGGGAAACUUGAGUGCAGAAGAGGAGAGUGGAAUUCCACGUGUAGCGGUGAAAUGCGUAGAGAUGUGGAGGAACACCAGUGGCGAAGGCGACUCUCUGGUCUGUAACUGACGCUGAGGAGCGAAAGCGUGGGGAGCGAACAGGAUUAGAUACCCGGGUAGUCCCUGUCUCUUAUACA
rnacentral:rRNA from 1 species